rnacentral:rRNA from 1 species
GACGAACGCUGGCGGCGUGCCUAAUACAUGCAAGUAGAACGCUGAAGGAGGAGCUUGCUUCUCUGGAUGAGUUGCGAACGGGUGAGUAACGCGUAGGUAACCUGCCUGGUAGCGGGGGAUAACUAUUGGAAACGAUAGCUAAUACCGCAUAAGAGUAGAUGUUGCAUGACAUUUGCUUAAAAGGUGCAAUUGCAUCACUACCAGAUGGACCUGCGUUGUAUUAGCUAGUUGGUGAGGUAACGGCUCACCAAGGCAACGAUACAUAGCCGACCUGAGAGGGUGAUCGGCCACACUGGGACUGAGACACGGCCCAGACUCCUACGGGAGGCAGCAGUAGGGAAUCUUCGGCAAUGGACGGAAGUCUGACCGAGCAACGCCGCGUGAGUGAAGAAGGUUUUCGGAUCGUAAAGCUCUGUUGUAAGAGAAGAACGAGUGUGAGAUU